UGAAUCGUUCAUUUGAACGGUUUUACUUUAAUUUCUUGUCAAUACUGUAGUAAUUUCUUAGUAUUCAGCAUUCAGAUUUCUUCAAGUAUUGAGUGCGUACAACAUAUUCUUAAAAGAACAUCGUAUUUUGAGUUAGACGACCAAAGAAAGUCGUGAAACGGCAUUAGGAGCCGGACCACUGUGUGAACUGCUGGAGAAGAGCUGCAUACAUGCCGGACGCUCAUUUGGUGUUUUACUGAACGUCUAAUAUGGGUUCGAAACAUCGUGACGAAGACAAAGUCAUACAAGUGGAACAACAAGACAAUGAACUAUUUCUUUUGCAGCUGAAUCAUUAUCCCUGCCAUUGCUUUACUAAAGAGACAUUCUUGCUGCAUAUGAUGCCAUCAUGCAGAUCAACGCUGGAAGCGCUUGUUCCUAUCCCAUGUUCC